rnacentral:piRNA from 2 species
UGAUAGGUGCAAUCCAUAUACCAGUC